AUAACAACUGGCGAAGGAGUUCGCCAUUAAUCGUCCUAGUGACUAAUGACUCCUGUAUUAAG
rnacentral:ncRNA from 2 species